rnacentral:lncRNA from 1 species
UGAUCCCUCAUGGUGCCUGCAAAAUUAUAAUAUCCAAAUGCAUUCUUGAUGUGGAUAUUUACUUUCCUUGCAUCACCAAAGAGGCGAUAUACCUAAAAAAUCAAUCUAAAGAAUCUCAUGAAGGGCCAUACCAAGAAAGGGAUCCACUCUAUGGGCAUUAACUCCCACUGGAAGAGAAGAGAAUAAUUGAGGUAAUAUCAACAGGAAGCGAUGGUUCUUUUUUUCCCUAUUUAUUUUGAGAAUUUGGAAGGAGGAUUAACGUCUUUCCACCGCAGAAAAUAUUACUUGAAAGGAGGAUUAGAAAGCGAUGUUCAAUGCCAUCUUUUGAAUUGAACCUCCA